rnacentral:lncRNA from 1 species
CAUAUUAAUUAAGUUUAUUAUCGUAUGAGUAUAACUUCUAAGUAUGUUUUUAUUUCUGUAGGAAGAAGGAGAAAAGAAAAUGCCAGACUCUGAGAAAGUUGCAGGGCCUAAAGAAGACUGUCAGCUUCCAUUUCUCCUAUUUUGUAAAACCAACAACCAUGCUGUAAGCAAAUUCAGGAUAUUCUGCAGGAGAAAGAGAGAGACAACAAAAAAAAGCUUUGGAGAAAAUGAUACAAGGAAAGAAGAUGGCCAUGGGGAGGAAUACAGAAUCACCCAAAUACUGAGUGAAGCCUUCCUGGACCGUCCAGCCUAACCCAGUUGCCAGCAGAAUGCAGCUGAAUAAAUUUCCCAACUGGUUUCAUAGAAUAACCACCUGGAAAAGUACUGCCCCAAAUCCCAAUCCAUACUGUCUCAAUAAAUAGUAGUUCAC